AAUUGAAGCUGUUAUUAGUUUAAAAAAGAAAAAAAUAAGGAUUCCUAAUUGUAAUGAGAAGAUAUGCAUAGCUCAUUCUAACUUUUCCCCCCGACCACACAGUGAAGUGAAAAAAUAGUGAUUCUAAAUCCCAUAGCACGUCUCAUCAAUUUAAUGCGACCUCAUUGGUUGAUAAAAAUAUCAUGCGAGAUUUAAUUGGCUGUAAAAAAUCAUGCCACCGAAAU